ACGGGUGAGUAACGCGUGGGAAUCUACCCAUCUCUGCGGAAUAACGCAUGGAAACGUGUGCUAAUACCGUAUACGUCCUUCGGGAGAAAGAUUUAUCGGAGAUGGAUGAGCCCGCGUUGGAUUAGCUAGUUGGUGGGGUAAAGGCCUACCAAGGCGACGAUCCAUAGCUGGUCUGAGAGGAUGAUCAGCCACACUGGGACUGAGACACGGCCCAGACUCCUACGGGAGGCAGCAGUGGGGAAUAUUGGACAAUGGGCGCAAGCCUGAUCCAGCCAUGCCGCGUGAGUGAUGAAGGCCCUAGGGUUGUAAAGCUCUUUCACCGGUGAAGAUAAUGACGGUAACCGGAGAAGAAGCCCCGGCUAACUUCGUGCCAGCAGCCGCGGUAAUACGAAGGGGGCUAGCGUUGUUCGGAUUUACUGGGCGUAAAGCGCACGUAGGCGGACUAUUAAGUCAGGGGUGAAAUCCCGGGGCUCAACCCCGGAACUGCCUUUGAUACUGGUAGUCUUGAGUUCGAGAGAGGUGAGUGGAAUUCCGAGUGUAGAGGUGAAAUUCGUAGA
rnacentral:rRNA from 1 species